rnacentral:rRNA from 1 species
UAGGGAAUCUUCGGCAAUGGGGGGAACCCUGACCGAGCAACGCCGCGUGAGUGAAGAAGGUUUUCGGAUCGUAAAGCUCUGUUGUUAAGGAAGAACGAGUGUGAGAAUGGAAAGUUCAUGCUGUGACGGUACUUAACCAGAAAGGGACGGCUAACUACGUGCCAGCAGCCGCGGUAAUACGUAGGUCCCGAGCGUUGUCCGGAUUUAUUGGGCGUAAAGCGAGCGCAGGCGGUUAGAAAAGUCUGAAGUGAAAGGCAGUGGCUCAACCAUUGUAGGCUUUGGAAACUGUUUAACUGGAGUGCAGAAGGGGGGGGUGGAAUUCCAUGUGUAGCGGUGAAAUGCGUAGAUAUAUGGAGGAACACCGGUGGCGAAAGCGGCUCUCUGGUCUGUAACUGACGCAGAGGCUCGAAAGCGUGGGGAGCGAACAGG